rnacentral:rRNA from 1 species
AUACGGAGGAUCCGAGCGUUAUCCGGAUUUAUUGGGUUUAAAGGGAGCGUAGGCGGACGCUUAAGUCAGUUGUGAAAGUUUGCGGCUCAACCGUAAAAUUGCAGUUGAUACUGGGUGUCUUGAGUACAGUAGAGGCAGGCGGAAUUCGUGGUGUAGCGGUGAAAUGCUUAGAUAUCACGAAGAACUCCGAUUGCGAAGGCAGCCUGCUGGACUGUAACUGACGCUGAUGCUCGAAAGUGUGGGUAUCAAACAGGAUUAGAUACCCUGGUAGUCCACACAGUAAACGAUGAAUACUCGCUGUUUGCGAUAUACAGUAAGCGGCCAAGCGAAAGCGUUAAGUAUUCCACCUGGGGAGUACGUUCGCAAGAAUGAAACUCAAAGGAAUUGACGGGG